rnacentral:rRNA from 1 species
UACGAAGGGUGCAAACGUUGCUCGGAAUUAUUGGGCGUAAAGCGCACGUAGGCGGCUUUGCAAGUCGGAUGUGAAAUCCCUCGGCUCAACCAAGGAAGUGCAUCCGAAACUGCAGAGCUUGAGUACUUAAGAGGAUCGCGGAAUUCCCGGUGUAGAGGUGAAAUUCGUAGAGAUCGGGAGGAACAUCAGUGGCGAAGGCGGCCUUCUGGACCAGUACUGACGCUGAGGCACGAAAGCGUGGGGAGCAAACAGG